UACGAAGGGGGCUAGCGUUGCUCGGAAUCACUGGGCGUAAAGGGUGCGUAGGCGGGUCUUUAAGUCAGGGGUGAAAUCCUGGAGCUCAACUCCAGAACUGCCUUUGAUACUGAAGAUCUUGAGUUCGGGAGAGGUGAGUGGAACUGCGAGUGUAGAGGUGAAAUUCGUAGAUAUUAGGAAGAACACCAGUGGCGAAGGCGGCUC
rnacentral:rRNA from 1 species